GUCCCUGCAGCGCAAUGGAGAGCGUGUUGGACUUCUAAUCUAAAGGUGUGGGUUCGAAUCCCAUUUGGGAUA